CCGGGCCAGCCCCGCCCUCAGGGUGGGCUGAGGUGCGGCUCCCUGGAGACCCCGCCCGCUAGCCGGGAGCCAGCGGCGCAGUGCGAGUUCAGCCCGCUUUCUUCGCGCUCCGCGUCAGAUCUCUCCAGCUCUGUUCUCGCAUCCCGAUGGGCCGCCUGUUUUAAAUCCAAAAGCUGGUAGGAGUUUCAGGUACACUGCAUUUGCUUCUGCUGUCCUAUUGCACUUGGACUUGGUGCAGCUAUGACCUAAUGCAGAAGACAAAGUAUGAAGCUACCAAACUGUCAGGGCCAGAACUAAGCCUGUAUAAUUGAUAGGAACCUUCUGGGUGCAUGGAAUGAGCCUCUAAACAUGGCCACAGCUCAGUGAUACUGACCAACCAAACAUCCCUUUGCUGGACCUAUGCAAACAUGAAACAGACCCUAAGACGUGGAACUGCCUGAAGUGAGCAAUCUGACCACCAGGGGGCAGCAUGAGUCCAUCGCUUUGUCUGAAAACAGACAGGUCCUAGUCAGCGGCCCUCCUCUCCAAGCAAGCUGAGUCUGCACGUUGGAGUCAUCUGAUGAGCUUUUAGAAAACUGCAGCACGUGGUCUUCCAUAUUUCGGCUGGGCCUGGGCAUCAGAGGACACCAGGGACCACUCCUCCCCUCCCCUCCGAGAGCAGAGCGGUGCAGUCCCUCCUGGCUUAAGGAGCUCCUCACUGACAGGAGAAUUCAGAACUGGCCUGCAGAAAUCAACUGGAGAACCUCCCAACCACGUGUGCAUGAGGUUCAAUGCCCGUGCGUUUCAGGAGACGCAGGACAUUCUUGGGGAGCCCCAAAAACCCCGACCUGAGAAAGCUCUAGAAGCACAGCAUUAGCUCACCACCCACCCCGUACGUCUUGAGUGCUUUGCGAUACCACAGGGUUGUCUGUGACACAUCCAGCCCAGCACUGCCCUGCUCUGCCUGCCUCUCUUUGGGAGGAUGGAUCUGAGGACUAAGGUGACCGCCAUGAUGAAAGACCAGAUUCUCAUGAAGAAACCAUUUGUGAAGGAUUUUGAUCAGGCAACAUGGGCGUGCAGGUUUAAACACAGACCCCAGCCUUCCAUGCCUGGCAAGCCACUUUCUCCUAUAUUCAUGCAUGUCUAGAUUUCUCAAUGAAAAACGUAGUUGAACUCAUGAAAGCCUAUCUUUAAAAAAUAUUAAAUACUAAUCUUAUA